GCUCCGGCUCCCGCUAUCGGAUGAGCCUAUGUCGGAUUAGCUGGUUGGUGAGGUAAAGGCUCACCAAGGCGACGAUCCGUAGCUGGUCUGAGAGGAUGAUCAGCCACAUCGGGACUGAGACACGGCCCGAACUCCUACGGGAGGCAGCAGUGGGGGAUAUUGGACAAUGGGGGCAACCCUGAUCCAGCCAUGCCGCGUGUGUGAAGAAGGCCCUCGGGUUGUAAAGCACUUUCAGUGAGGAAGAACGCCUGGUGGUUAAUACCCAUCAGGAAAGACAUCACUCACAGAAGAAGCACCGGCUAACUCCGUGCCAGCAGCCGCGGUAAUACGGAGGGUGCGAGCGUUAAUCGGAAUUACUGGGCGUAAAGCGCGCGUAGGUGGCUUGAUAAGCCGGUUGUGAAAGCCCCGGGCUCAACCUGGGAACGGCAUCCGGAACUGUCAAGCUAGAGUGCAGGAGAGGAAGGUAGAAUUCCCGGUGUAGCGGUGAAAUGCGUAGAGAUCGGGANGGAAUACCAGUGGCGAAGGCGGCCUUCUGGACUGACACUGACACUGAGGUGCGAAAGCGUGGGUAGCAAACAGGAUUAGAUACCCUGGUAGUCCACGCCGUAAACGAUGUCGACCAGCCGUUGGGUGCCUAGCGCACUUUGUGGCGAAGUUAACGCGAUAAGUCGACCGCCNUGGGGAGUACGGCCNNGCAAGGUUAAAACUCAAAUGAAUUGACGGGGGCCCGCACAAGCGGUGGAGCAUGUGGUUUAAUUCGAUGCAACGCGAAGAACCUUACCUACUCUUGACAUCCUGCGAAUUUGGUAGAGAUACCUUAGUGCCUUCGGGAACGCAGAGACAGGUGCUGCAUGGCUGUCGUCAGCUCGUGUUGUGAAAUGUUGGGUUAAGUCCCGUAACGAGCGCAACCCUUGUCCUUAUUUGCCAGCGCGUAAUGGCGGGAACUCUAAGGAGACUGCCGGUGACAAACCGGAGGAAGGUGGGGACGACGUCAAGUCAUCAUGGCCCUUACGAGUAGGGCUACACACGUGCUACAAUGGUCGGUACAAAGGGUUGCCAACUCGCGAGAGUGAGCCAAUCCCGAAAAGCCGAUCUCAGUCCGGAUCGGAGUCUGCAACUCGACUCCGUGAAGUCGGAAUCGCUAGUAAUCGUGGAUCAGAAUGCCACGGUGAAUACGUUCC
rnacentral:rRNA from 1 species